CUAUUGGGGAUGGUAUCCAUCGGUGGGCUUUGGCUAGAUGUGAGAAGAUCCGGUGACCAGAAGACGUGAUGAAGGCUGCAGCAGAUUCCUGGAUCAGAGGACCUAGCUAUUGGGGAUGGUAUCCAACGGUGGGCCUUGGCUGGAUGUGAGAAGAGCAGAAGAGUUGAUAAAGGCUGCAGCAGAUUCCUGGAUCAGAGAACCUCUCUAUUGGGGAUGGUAUCCAUCGGUGGGCCUUGGCUGGAUGUGAGAAGACCAGGACUCCAUGUUGGGCACCACAACCUGGAGAAGUCUUGUCCUGGAUGGCUGCACUGAGGACCUUGGCCAAGGUUUUCUCUUCCUGGAGUCUCAGACUGUCUGUUCAUCUGCUCUCUCUGGUGUCUGGGAGUUAGUCAGGGUCUAAACCUAAAUGGAUUAUUUAAAGUUGAUUAGUCUCGAGGCUUCUACGAUUUCUGCUGGAAAUUCUGGGACCUUAUUUUUUAAUGACUUUAAUUUGGUCUUAUCUCUUGUACUCAUAGUUGUGACUUCGCCUAUUGACAACCUUGGGGAGUCGAACUCAUGCAGGAUAAAUGCAAAGUAUACUGUAGCUUGGCAAGUUUUCUUAUAAACAAGUGCUGUAUAAUGUAUUUGAUUACAAUGAGCUAAAGGAGCUAUUCCUUUAUUUCUCACCUGGUAAUUGCUUUGAUCAGAUUAUAACUGGUUCUUGAUUUGAUUAUGAAGCUGAACUUUUUCUCCUGUUUUUAGGCAAGUGUAGCCACAUUACAUUUUAGAUGUCAUACAGCCCAUGGAUAAUGUUGUGAAAUACUUUAAUUUGACAUUUUUUGUCAAGUUUUUUUUUUAUAUGAAUUUAAGUCUUAAUCUGUUUUCUCUGAUUGUAUGCAUUGCCUCUAUAGUUUUAUCCAUCACUUACUAAACUGGAAUUCAAUGCUAAGCUGACUUGUCUCAGUCUGCUAAACUGACUUGUCUCAGUCUGCCAAGUUUAGUCCCUGCUAAAGACUCAAGCUGAACCCUUUUUGUGUUCAUAAAGCCUUUUUGCGCGUCAUAUUGGGAGGCCUCCCUGCAGGGGAUUUCUAUCUUCCCCUGCAAAACCAUGCGUUACUCGUGUCUUGUAUGCAGGGAUAACCUAGACAGUGUCCUAAAUGUGUCCUCACUGAUUAGAUUUCAGGAUUAGAGUGUGUUUCGGUUCUUUAGGAGGAAACAAACCUGGCAGAGAGACAACUCAGAUUAUUUAACUGAAGGUUAUGCCAAAUUUGAGAACUUUAUCUUUUAUGUUACAAAUUGAAAUGAAACAUUCAGUGGGCUGAAUUCCAGAAGUCGUGGUGUUCAGGAAAAAAAGUCUGACAGAAUUUGGCUUCAGUGUUGAGACUGUUCAAGUACCCUCUUGUGGCAGGAGCUUUUUAUGAAUUAAUUUUUCAUUAUUUGAUUUUUGGAUUCACUUCACGUCUCUGGAGCUUUGUGAUUAACCUUGAUCAUGUAAACUUGUAAAGAUAAGUGAUCUUUUGCCUCUUGUUUGCGAAGUUGGCAGCUGGUUGGAAUUAUAUAACUUCAUAGGUUGCCCAAGGUGAUGUAUUUGAUGAGACAACAUAGGUUGAACUCACCAGUAUCCAUGACUUUCUUGCAAAAUGAAAAUAUGACAUUGACAGCCACUUGAUUUCACAGUUUAGGCAACUUGAGAGGUCAUUACGAUGAUGCUUAAUCUUAAUCUCUUGGUUGGUUGCAUGAGAAAACUGCAAUCUCCCAGGUGUGUUGGCGAGCUUUCUCUGAUUUUGACACUUGCCCUAAAGUUUCCUUCUUUAACUCUUGUUGAGCUAUGCAUUA